AUGCCACUGCGCGCCCGGAGCAGCUUCGGCUACCGAGGCGUUCGCGUCCGGCCCUCCGGCAUGUUCUAUGCGGAGAUCCGCUCCAGUGGUGUGCGUCUCGAUCUCGGGACGUUCAAGACCGCGCACGAGGCCGGCCGCGCAUAUGACGCGGCGGUGUGGCGCCUCUUUAGGACAAGCUUGCACAUGAACUUCGACGACGCGCGGACGUGCCAGCAGGCGCAGGACCUCGUGCCUCCGUUGCGGCUAGUUACUGAUAAGGACGGUCAUGAACACUGCAGACGACAAUGUUGCCUCCUCAUCGCCGAGGCGGGCGAGCUAGCCAUGGCAGAAUGA
rnacentral:rRNA from 1 species